rnacentral:rRNA from 1 species
AGAACGAACGCUGGCGGCAGGCCUAACACAUGCAAGUCGAACGCCCUAGCAAUAGGGAGUGGCAGACGGGUGAGUAACGCGUGGGAACCUUCCCUAUAGUACGGAAUAUACCAGGGAAACUUGGAGCAAUACCGUAUACGCCCGAAAGGGGAAAGAUUUAUCGCUAUAGGAUGGGCCCGCGUAGGAUUAGCUAGUUGGUGAGGUAAUGGCUCACCAAGGCGACGAUCCUUAGCUGGUCUGAGAGGAUGAUCAGCCACACUGGGACUGAGACACGGCCCAGACUCCUACGGGAGGCAGCAGUGGGGAAUAUUGGGCAAUGGCGCAAGCCUGACCCAGCCAUGCCGCGUGAGUGACGACGGCCUUAGGGUUGUAAAGCUCUUUUGGCGGGGACGAUAAUGACGGUACCGCAGAAUAAGCCCGGCUAACUUCGUGCCAGCAGCCGC